CUAGUACUCCCUCCGUUCGGAAUUACUUGUCUCGGAAAUGGAUGUAUCUAGAACUAAAAUACGUCUAGAUACAUCCAUUUCCGCGACAAGUAAUUCCGAACGGAGGGAGUACUUG
rnacentral:pre_miRNA from 1 species